GGAUGCGAUCAUACCAGCACUAAAGCACCGGAUCCCAUUAGAACUCCGAAGUUAAGCGUGCUUGGGCGAGAGUAGUACUAGGAUGGGUGACCUCCUCGGAAGUCCUCGUGUUGCAUUCC
rnacentral:rRNA from 1 species